rnacentral:rRNA from 1 species
CCUACGGGGGGCAGCAGUCGAGAAUCAUUCACAAUGGGGGAAACCCUGAUGGUGCGACGCCGCGUGGGGGAAUGAAGGUCUUCGGAUUGUAAACCCCUGUCAUGUGGGAGCAAAUUAAAAAGAUAGUACCACAAGAGGAAGAGACGGCUAACUCUGUGCCAGCAGCCGCGGUAAUACAGAGGUCUCAAGCGUUGUUCGGAAUCACUGGGCGUAAGGCGUGCGUAGGCUGUUUCGUAAGUCGUGUGUGAAAGGCGCGGGCUCAACCCGCGGACGGCACAUGAUACUGCGAGACUAGAGUAAUGGAGGGGGAACCGGAAUUCUCGGUAUAGCAGUGAAAUGCGUAGAUAUCGAGAGGAACACUCGUGGCGAAGGCGGGUUCCUGGACAUUAACUGACGCUGAGGCACGAAGGCCAGGGGAGCGAAAGGGAUUAGAUACCCGAGUAGUC